rnacentral:lncRNA from 1 species
GGGGGGGGCCGUGUCGGUCACCGGGGGGAUGGGGGGGGCACCGGGUCUCGUCCUCCCCGGGUUCACCGCUCCCGCACCCGGCCGGGGCUGCCCGCCGCGGGGUCGCCCCUUCCUUCCCUGCCAGCCCGCGCAACCCCCGGCAGCUGCGGCCCGGGGCUUUGGGGGGCUCCCCGUAAAGCUGGGCGGCCUCCGCUGUCCCUGCCCUCGACGGCCGUGCCCACGGGCAGACGCCCCGGGCCUCGCCCCCAGAGCCUGCGGCACCGGGGACGCCCCCGUCCUCCCCCGGCACCUGGGCAGAGGCGGCUCCCGCGGCCGCGGAGGAGGGUUCGCUGCCCGGGGUUGCCCUUCCCAGCCGCGAAGCGCGCUGAGGGGUGGGCUUCUUCCUCUUCAUCGCUGCAGCGAACUUGGUGCUGCACCAGACCGUGGAGCGUAUCCACGUGGGCAAGAAGUAUGGGGACAUCCCCCGAGGCAUCUUCGUCGUGAGAGGCGAGAACGUCGUCCUGCUGGGGGAAAUAGACCUGGAGAAGGAGAGCGACACGCCGCUGCAGCAGGUCUCCAUCGAGGAGAUCCUGGAGGAGCAGCGGCUGGAGCUGCAGGCCAAGCAGGAGUCGGAGAAGCUGAAGACAACUAAAAAAUCAUGGUUUCGGUUCCUCCGUGUGGAAAAGGAGGAGCAAUGGCGUUGGGCUGCCUGUUGAGGUAACGAAUGCUCUGGUGAGCGAGAGAGUUUUUGUUCCAAGGCAAAUCCCUUGGGUCUUCUUGUUUGCUUUUUCCUCAUGUGACUCUGGGCAAGAGUUCCCCUUGAUGUGUAAAUAAAUCCUUGAUCUCAACAGCA